GCUGAGAUGCGAAAGCGUGGGGAGCAAACAGGAUUAGAUACCUGGUAGUCCACGCUGUAAACGAUGUCGAUUUGGAGUUUGUCUAGAAUGGGCUCCGAAGCUAACGCGAUAAAUCGACCGCUGGGGAGUACGGCCGCAAGGUUAAAACUCAAAUGAAUUGACGGGGGCCCGCACAGCGGUGGAGCAUGUGGUUUAAUUCGAUGCAACGCGAAGAACCUUACCUGGUCUUGACAUCCAUAGAAUUCUGCAGAGAUGUGGGAGUGCCUUCGGGAACUAUGAGACAGGUGCUGCAUGGCUGUCGUCAGCUCGUGUUGUGAAAUGUUGGGUUAAGUCCCGCAACGAGCGCAACCCUUAUUCUUUGUUGCCAGCGAUUUGGUCGGGAACUCAAAGGAGACUGCCGUUGAUAAAGCGGAGGAAGGUGGGGACGACGUCAAGUCAUCAUGGCCCUUACAACCAGGGCUACACACGUGCUACAAUGGCGUAUACAAAGGGAAGCGAAGGUGCGAGCUGGAGCGGAUCUCAUAAAGUACGUCUAAGUUCGGAUUGGAGUCUGCAACUCGACUCCAUGAAGUCGGAAUCGCUAGUAAUCGUAGAUCAGAAUGCUACGGUGAAUACGUUCCCGGGCCUUGUACACACCGCCCGUCACACCAUGGGAGUGGGUUGCACCAGAAGUAGAUAGCUUAACCGCGAGGGGGGCGUUUACCACGGUGUGAUUCAUGACUGGGGUGAAGUCGUAACAAGGUAACCA
rnacentral:rRNA from 1 species